AGAGUUUGAUCCGGCUUCAGGAUGAACGCCGGCGGGGUGCGUAAUACAUGCAAGUCGAACGCGUUGGCCCAACUGAUUGGACGUGCUUGCACGGACUUGACGUUGGUUUACCAGCGAGUGGCGGACGGGUGAGUAACACGUAGGUAACCUGCCCCAAAGCGGGGGAUAACAUUUGGAAACAGAUGCUAAUACCGCAUAACAAUUUGAAUCGCAUGAUUCAAAUUUAAAAGAUGGCUUCGGCUAUCACUUUGGGAUGGACCUGCGGCGCAUUAGCUUGUUGGUAGGGUAACGGCCUACCAAGGCUGUGAUGCGUAGCCGAGUUGAGAGACUGAUCGGCCACAAUGGAACUGAGACACGGUCCAUACUCCUACGGGAGGCAGCAGUAGGGAAUUCUUCCACAAUGGGCGCAAGCCUGAUGGAGCAACACCGCGUGAGUGAAGAAGGGUUUCGGCUCGUAAAGCUCUGUUGUUAGAGAAGAACGUGCGUGAGAGUAACUGUUCACGCAGUGACGGUAUCUAACCAGAAAGUCACGGCUAACUACGUGCCAGCAGCCGCGGUAAUACGUAGGUGGCAAGCGUUAUCCGGAUUUAUUGGGCGUAAAGCGAGCGCAGGCAGUUUGAUAAGUCUGAUGUGAAAGCCUUUGGCUUAACCAAAGAAGUGCAUCGGAAACUGUCAGACUUGAGUGCAGAAGAGGACAGUGGAACUCCAUGUGUAGCGGUGGAAUGCGUAGAUAUAUGGAAGAACACCAGUGGCGAAGGCGGCUGUCUGGUCUGCAACUGACGCUGAGGCUCGAAAGCAUGGGUAGCGAACAGGAUUAGAUACCCUGGUAGUCCAUGCCGUAAACGAUGAGUGCUAGGUGUUGGAGGGUUUCCGCCCUUCAGUGCCGCAGCU
rnacentral:rRNA from 1 species